UACGGAGGGAGCUAGCGUUGUUCGGAAUUACUGGGCGUAAAGCGCACGUAGGCGGCUUUGUAAGUUAGAGGUGAAAGCCCGGGGCUCAACCCCGGAAUUGCCUUUAAGACUGCAUCGCUUGAAUCCAGGAGAGGUGAGUGGAAUUCCGAGUGUAGAGGUGAAAUUCGUAGAUAUUCGGAAGAACACCAGUGGCGAAGGCGGCUCACUGGACUGGUAUUGACGCGUG
rnacentral:rRNA from 1 species